rnacentral:siRNA from 1 species
GUAUGCGGAGUCGAGUUGGUGCAU